rnacentral:misc_RNA from 1 species
GGAAGUAAAAGUCGAAACAAGGUUUCCGUAGGUGAACCUGCGGAAGGAUCAUUCAUAAUAAAGUGUUUUAUGGCACUUUUUAAAAAUCCAUAUCCACCUUGUGUGCAAUGUUAGAUCUCGUCAAUCUUGGCGAGAUUUUUAUACAUCAACUCAUUCUUUAACUAAUUUGUCUGAAAAAUAUUAUGAAUACUUAAUUCAAAAUACAACUUUCAACAACGGAUCUCUUGGCUCUC